rnacentral:lncRNA from 1 species
UAUGGGGCUCCAGGAUCAAUUAAAGUAUGUGUUAUGUGCUUGCAAAUAAGGUACGUACCCUAAAUCACGUCAGGAGCAGCUUUCGCAUCCUUAGUUGUGAUGGCAUAAACUCAGCCUGAGACUGCUGGUCUAGCUUGCGACUGAGGCUAGGGGCAAUCACGUAUCUGAUGAUCGAUACUUUCACAUCUAAAACUGGCAUUGUUGAGCCAAUAACACUGGACGUUCCCAUGAUUCUUGCCACAAUGAACGCAACUCUGAUCUUGUCUGGCCGGCAA